rnacentral:lncRNA from 1 species
UGGGACGGGCCUUGGGGCCACCAGCCGGGUGGGGAGUGGCUUCGAGGGGCCUCUCGCCAGCGGAAGGCCCGCGAGGCCGCCCUCGGAGCACCGCCAGAUUUAUAAAACUGUUCUUUGCAAGUGCCAGAAAUGGACUGUAGCUAACUUAAGCCACGGGUAAGGGAGAAGGGGGCCAGGGGAGCCCCAGGGACUCACUACUGCUCGUGUGGGGCUGACAAGCCAUCCAGAGGCAAGAAACCGAGGACCAGAGAGCUGGCACUACCUGCCAAAGCCACAUAGCUGGGAGGAAACAGGAGCCGUGGGAAUGCGCACUCAGAGCAGCCAGGGGUGAAAGACGAGGGCCCCAGCCAGCCUGGAGUCAGCCAGCCUGCCUGACAAACAGGAAAGACCAGCAGCAGAGGCUGGGAGCACCCUUGCUGGGCCUGGGCUGUUCCUCUGGUCCCAGUGGAGGUGGGAGCCCCCAGGUGCCCUGUACCCAUUUCCCCCUCAGCCAGGUAAGGGGAGAGGCGAGGGAGGAGAGAGAGCAUCCCAAACCCAGCUUGUCCAGGCCUGACAUCUGCAGAUCCCUGUACUGCUCCCUGUUUUCCACUCAUUUCACAGGCCUUUCUUUACCUGAUCUUGUCCAGAGUGUUUUGUCUGUGAAAUCACAGGCUUAAUGUGUUGGCUUUGUUUUUUUGGUAACGCACACUAAAAUAAAGCAUAUGUGUUUUAAAGAUUGCUGGGCCAUCUGUGGAUCAUGUAAGAUGCCUGGCUUGGGAGGACAACCCUUGUUCGGAAAGCGAAGGGCCUUGCUGGGAUGACCUGGGAAGGGACAGUCACAAGGGGCAGCCCCAGCCUGUGGCCUUGAGUAGGUCUAGAGACCCUCGCCCCACCUUGACAGGCCUGGGCCCCAGAAGCAGCUUUGCCAGGCAACCUGGGAUCCCACUGCCCUGGGGACAGUGUGCAGGGCCAGGGGAACCGACAAUGGUCACGCUCCAGCCCCGCACUGGCCCACAGCUCCCCUAGAUCGGGCCGGCGCAUGCACCCU